rnacentral:tRNA from 1 species
UCCCAUGUGGUCUAGUGGUUAGGAUUCGUGUUUUUUACCCACGCGGCUCGGGGUCGAUUCCCGGCAUGGGAA